UUUCCCUGAUACCAGAACCACCAAAACAUUUUUCAAAAAAAAAAUCUUAUACAUCACGGAAAGACGGUGCUGGAAACCUGCAAGUCCUUACCAAACACACCCCCGUCGGAACUCAGAAACCCGUAAAUCCUUUCUCUAUUGUUCGUUUUUUCUGGGCUCCAUUAUCAAGAAACCUAAAUGGGGAAUCAUGAAAACACUAAUCCCAAUGGAUAUCCGGAUGGAUUUUGGCUUAGAGAAAGUGGGUUUAGCAUGUGAAUCUCAAAAUGAAGAUGAAAUAUAAUAAAGGUGUGAUCUUGUGCACUGGGAUCUGAGAAGAAGGUAAAGUGAACUUGUUUGAGGAUCACUAGGAGAUAGAAUUUGCUUUAUAGAAUGAAAGAAAACAGAUUUAGAAAAUUAGAAGCUUGUUAGUUAAGAAUUAUUUUUAUACUUUUGCAGUGCGUUCGUAAUAUAUGGCAGUAAGUAUCCUCCAAAAUUG
rnacentral:lncRNA from 1 species